rnacentral:rRNA from 1 species
UUCAUAGUACGUGAACCGUUCAGGGGUAAACGGGAGGGAUCCGGAAGGUCGAACGGGGAGAUUCAAUCCCGUCCGCUCGUUGGCACCCGAUCCGCGAUUCCGGAUGUCGUCGGCCGCCGGCCACACCGCAAGGUGCGUGCCGCGUUAGGUCGUCGGUACCGGCCGGUCGGGGAGUUCGGCGGCGGCGGGCUGCACUUCUCCCCCGGUAGGACGUCGCGACCCGUUGGACAUGGGUCUAAGGCCCGGGGUGGAGCCCGAGGGGAUCGCCGAGGAAUCUCGGAUUCACGGUCCCCCGGACCCCCGGUCGCCCGGCCCCUGUUCGACGGUAGAAAACGAGGAGAUGGCCCGCUCUUUGAGCGUCCGGCCCGGUGGACAAGCUCCACGGGUUUGUGCGCGUGCCGCGGCUAACGCCGCGUCCCCGCCGCCCGCGGGCUGCUGGUCUCCGGAGUUCUCGGACAGCUUAGGCCGUUCUCCCGUCCGCGGCGCUAUUGCUUCGGAUGCCUUCCCGACCCGUCUUGAAACACGGACAAA